rnacentral:rRNA from 1 species
UACGGAGGGUGCAAACGUUGUCCGGAUUUACUGGGCGUAAAGCGCACGCAGGCGGUUCGCCAAGUUUGGAGUGACAGUUGUCGGCUCAACCGACAAAGGACUUCAAAAACUGGUGAACUUGAGGACGAGAGAGGAACAUGGAACUCCAGGUGUAGUAGUGAAAUGCGUAGAUAUCUGGAAGAACACCAAUGGCGAAGGCAAUGUUCUGGCUCGUUUCUGACGCUCAGGUGCGAAAGCCAGGGGAGCGAACGGG